UACGUAGGUGGCAAGCGUUGUCCGGAUUUAUUGGGCGUAAAGCGAGUGCAGACGGUUCAAUAAGUCUGAUGUGAAAGCCUUCGGCUCAACCGGAGAAUUGCAUCAGAAACUGUUGAACUUGAGUGCAGAAGAGGAGAGUGGAACUCCAUGUGUAGCGGUGGAAUGCGUAGAUAUAUGGAAGAACACCAGUGGCGAAGGCGGCUCUCUGGUCUGCAACUGACGCUGAGGCUCGAAAGCAUGGGUAGCGAACAGG
rnacentral:rRNA from 1 species